rnacentral:rRNA from 1 species
GACGAACGCUGGCGGCGUGCUUAACACAUGCAAGUCGAACGGAAAGGCCCUGCUAUUGUGUGGUGCUCUAGUGGCGAACGGGUGAGUAACACGUGAGUAACCUGCCCUUGACUUUGGGAUAACUUCAGGAAACUGGGGCUAAUACCGGAUUGGAGCUCCUGCUUCAUGGUGUGGGUUGGAAUGUUUCUGCGGUUGGGGAUGGACUCGCGCGUUAUCAGCGUGUUGGUGGGGUAGUGGGUUACCAAGGCUUUGAGGGGUAGCCGGCCUGGGAGGGUGACCGGCCACAUUGGGACUGUGAUACAGCCCAGACUCCUACGGGAGACAGAAGUGGGGAAUAUUGCGCAAUGGGCGGAAGACUGAUGCAGCAACGCCGCGUGCGGGAUGACGGCCUUCGGGUUGUAAAACGCUUUCGCAUGUGACGAAGCGUGAGUGACGGUAAUGGGUAAAGAAGCACCGGCUAACUACGUG